AAAAAAAAGACAGUGAGAGAAAGGGGCAGAGAAAAAGUUGUAUUUUUUCCCAAUUAUGAAACAACAACAAAAUAAAACUCCUUACUGGUAAUGUGCUCCAUUUCUAAGAUUCAAAAGCAAUAUUGUGACAAGCAGCAUGUCAUAAGCUAUAUUUUCUGAACUCCAGAAAGUCAUUAAUUAUUAAUAAAUUUAAUAGAUUAAAGCUUUUUGAAGCUUUGUAGAAUGCCAUUGCAAAUUAUUCUGACAGAUAUGACUAUUGGGCUUCCCUAAAAACCACACCUUGGUAUUCCCAAAGCACAAGCUGAAAUGGGCCCUCGUUACCCCUCAAACACAGUGCUUCCAACUGAGUGACACAACAAGUCGGUUAUGGCUGUUCAACCAAUUUGCUUUCAUCAUGACUGUAUAUGGGUCCACAACUUAAAGAGGGCUCUUUUAUCCUUGGAUUAUGCAAGAAUUUUAAAAUAAAACCAGGAGGCCUCUACUGAUUCGUAGUUACAACAUGAAGAGGACUAUUCCAGGUGAAAAACCCUUUAGCACCCACCCAUUCCUACCAACUCUUUGGAAAAAAGUGUAAGUGAAAGCAAGAAAAACAGCAUAAGGCUUAUAAACCCUUAUAAAAAGUUCAGAGAUCCUCUUAAUAACACCAUAACACAUGUUAUCAUGCAGCAGAAGACUGUGGGCACUUCACAUUAAAUAUUAAACUCAAAACUAGGAGCUACUCACGUAUAACAAUCGCACUGUUGACUGUAAGCAAUUUCUUCAAGGCUUACAUCCGUAUCUAGUGGAGGCCGGGUGCCAUUCUAAAGGAGUUGAGAUAAUAAAAUGAGGAAGAUAAGAAAAGACUAUUUUAUUUGUUUUUUUUAACACAUAUCAUCUCUGAAGUGAUUAAGUUUCAUCUAUCAUGAAUCACACAGGCAUCUGACAAAUUCCCUGAAACACCCACAAAUACGAACAUUUUUAAUCUCAAACUAGCAAGGACAACCAGCCUUAAAAACAUUUAAUUAUGAAAUAAUAAGUAAUGCUAAUUUUUAACUUCCACUAAUGGAUUAGAUUUCCUCCAAAAAAACACAGGCAGCCUGUCCCAGGGCAGUGUCACACGGACACUAUCCCAGAUGCCAGUUGUGACUUAAGUAGGUGAUUGCAGCAACAGCAUUUGUUGAGCUGAACUUCCCCUAGUUUUACUGUGUGUUGAAAUCAAAUAGUUAAGCAAUAAGCAUGUAGAUUUAGUCUUAUCUCAUCACCUUUAGGACUGAAUUAAUUGUCUUUUUUAUGUUCUAGACAUACAUUUUCAAACUUAGAAGUUUUCCACUCUGGAUUUCAUACAAGUUGACAUACACUGUAAUCAUUCCUGUAGGCUUCUUGACAUUACACUUCCACAUUAUUGCUGCCUCCCCAUAAAGAUCCCAGAAGUGGUUUCUUUUGUUAUUAUUUUUGCAUCUCCCAUGGCAAAAAAUAUUGAACAACAUCAUAAAUUACACUUGAAACUAGCCAAAAAAUUUUCAAACACUGUAAGCGUGGAGAUGUCCCUAUUAACCUUAUUCAACAGUAAAGUCAUGUCACGGGAGCACAGAGAUUCUAGAUGUCUAUAGUAUCAAACACUGGAGUUCAGACGUAAAAGGGCACUUUUUGAUACAAUUGAUUUAUUUCUGCCAGAAACUCAUUUUACAGAAAUGCACAACUUCAUAUAAUUCUUUUCUGACUUCUUCAGGUGAGCUAAUAUACCACAUACCUAUGAUAACUUCAAGAAAAAAAAAUAAAAUACAUAGUAACUGGCAAGUUAAACCCUCGAAUACUUAACAGAUAGUAGAAUAAUCAAGAAGUCGGCAGAGUAAGGGAGCAAUCUGAACUGAAUCUUUGGUAGAAUACCAGUUAGAAAGGGGGGAAAAAAAACCCAACCCAACAAAAAGACAAAGGAGCAGCCUGAUUUUGAAAGGACAGACUUCAACCUGGAAAGAAGGAAGCCCCGUCUGAUUUCACAGGGGAUACUUCAGUGACUGUUGUACAAGACACUUUCUCUGCUAAAUAGAGAUGUUUUCCCUACUGCUUUAAUUAGUAUAUUGGGCAUUUUUUGAGCGGGAUGAUCUGCCAAUGCUGGAGACAAGCUCAGCAGUAUGUGCAGCAGAGAAGCCUGAUGCAGCUUGGGAAAAGGUGAGCAUCCCAGUAACUUCAACGUGUGAAGACACGCUUUUCUUGCAUAAUUAAUAUGCAAUUUGGAAAUGACUGAUUUGUACAAGUUAACUGAAAUAAAACUCUUUCACAACAAUCUUCAACCUACAUUUAGGCUGUCUGUCUUCCUUACAAACUAUUCCUCCCCAUAGCUCCCUUUUCUAUUGGUCAUGCUGCUUUUAUAAGCAUCUGUGUUCUCCCUUGGCAGCGACUCCCAGCUUCCACAUCCUGUGCAUGUAUUCCUCCAGGAUUUCUGGGAAUCAGGAAAACAGUCACCCAGAAGCCACUCACAUCUGCACCCAACAUUUUAUUUUAUCUAGCUCUGAGCACAUAUUUAAGGAAGUGCUCCUGUACACAGAUUUUUCAAAUUUCCUUACUUAGAAUGCAUGGACGAAGUCUGACAAAAAAUAAGAAAUAGGAAUUUUUUCCUAGCUUUAUGAGAACCAUGGUGACUGCAGAAGCAGUGAAGUGAGAACAGCACCAGCUUCCUCAUGGAAUGAAGACAGAAACAUGCAAGGAAAAGACUCGUUCAGAGAGUGUUUGUGUCUCUUUCUGCUGGGCUCUCAAUUAAAAGCUGAGAAAAAAAUCCAUCAAAGACUUAGCAACUCAUUCACUACAAAGAUCUGGAACCAAAAUAUUAAGACUAAUAGGAAUUAAGUCUGUAUGGAAGUAUCUGGCAUUCCAAAAAUAACCAAGGACAGGAUCCACAGGAACAGAGCUGGGAAACACCGUGUGAUGUGUCGCUUUUGUCACAAGAAGGCCCAUAAUCAGACAAGGCAACAGCAAAGACGGUUUGUCAGCAGAAGACAAAUAUGCUCUGAUAAGAGGAUAAUGACAAGGUUACCACAUCACAUGUGCCACUCCUCUUGGUGUCAUUCCAACAGGAGGAUGGACUAGAGCCACGAAGAUUCCCAGAAGGAGGGAGCAAAGACACUUUUCAGCAACCUCGCCCAAGAUUUAUGGCAGCUGGAGUGAGCACGAUUCUCAGCUGCUGGAUUCUUAAAGGCAAUCUAGAAAACAGCUCUCUCUAACGAUCCGUCUGUCAAGAGGAAGCCAAGAAAUGAAGUGAGGAUUCAGCACAGAGUUCCUUCUCCUCACUGUUCCACACAAGUGAUCCCAAGUGGAUGCUGGUGCCUUGGUGACUGUGUGUGGUGUGAGAGCACGAGAGAGAUGAGCUCUGUUUAACACCACCUCCUCUUCCCGGGAAGUCUUCCACCAAGCUUUGCAGAGCUGUUUUGCUGCACCACUAAUUACAGUCAGAGCCUGAGAGAGUUACAAAUCUCCAAAGAUUCUCCAGCAAAAAUUCAAGCGAGUAAAGGCCCAACCCCUACAUGUUAAAAAACCAGAGCAAACCUAACCUCUGACACAGAAUCCUCCUGCUCUGUUCAGUCUAGUGACUGACCCACAACACCCACUUCUUCCAGGAGAACAAGGUUGCUUGUAUAAAGUCAGAACAAUCAUAUUAGCCCAGUUUUUAAAGAGCACUUUGAGUUACCUUUAAAAAUAAAAUUGGUAAAAUAAAAAACAAGUCCUUACAGUACGUUUCAAAAGAGAUUCAUUGCACUCAAAUUCUCUCUACAUCCUUUAAAAGGCAACCAUUUUUAAGAACAGGGUGGUUAAGUUUUAACUGAAAUGGUUUUAUAAAACUUUUUAUAAAUAGAAUUUCUUUUUAUAAAUAUUUUUAUAAAACUAAUAAACUGAUGCAUUGCUAAUAGCAAA